AACCACUAAACAUCCUUUCUGGGAGAGAUGUAAGAAACCCAGAUCCCCAGGCGAGGAACCAGGCGGCAAGAGAUCUGUCGCGGCUGAGGACGCAUCAGUCUCCAUUUAUAGAACCCUGAGCCCUACAAUUGCAGCGGAGAGCGCGACGGAACUGCAGAGAUAAGCCAGAAAGUCAGAGUUGGGUUUAUGGAUGUAAGACGCGCACAAGAGUACAGAGAGGAGCUAAUCGGAGGAACCACCGCGCAGCUGAGACGGCAAUGGCCUUGUGGUCAGGCGGCAACAAUCGAGGACCCAGAAGGCAAUUCAGAGGAACGCGGAACCAAGGAGGCGACUAUGGAGCUGGUUCCAGCAACGGUGGAUGGCGGAUGGCGGCUGAAUGGUGAGGGCAAGCACAGUGUUAUCGAGGGACAAAGCGGUGGAGCGUCUUGGUAGGAACCGGGAGAGUUAGUGUUUAUAUGAAAUCUUGUUUCAGAUAUGGGGAUUGAAAGAAGUGGAGAAAACAAAAUUCUUGGACUGAGAUUCACAUCAAGACACAAGCGUUCGAAGAGGUUCUAGGUACCCAGAUUCUUGAUGCAUCGCCAGAUGCUUAUGCCUACUGGGAGGCCUUGGAUGCAAAUCAAAGAAGUUGAAUGUGAGCCUGCAACAAAAGAAA